AGCGAACGCUGGCGGCAGGCUUAACACAUGCAAGUCCAACGGGCACUUCGGUGCUAGUGGCAGACGGGUGAGUAACACGUGGGAACGUACCUUUCGGUUCGGAAUAAUCCAGGGAAACUUGGACUAAUACCGGAUACGCCCUUCGGGGGAAAGAUUCAUCGCCGAUAGAUCGGCCCGCGUCUGAUUAGCUAGUUGGUGAGGUAAUGGCUCACCAAGGCGACGAUCAGUAGCUGGUCUGAGAGGAUGAUCAGCCACAUUGGGACUGAGACACGGCCCAAACUCCUACGGGAGGCAGCAGUGGGGAAUAUUGGACAAUGGGCGCAAGCCUGAUCCAGCCAUGCCGCGUGAGUGAUGAAGGCCUUAGGGUUGUAAAGCUCUUUUGUCCGGGAAGAUAAUGACUGUACCGGAAGAAUAAGCCCCGGCUAACUUCGUG
rnacentral:rRNA from 1 species